rnacentral:rRNA from 1 species
UACGUAGGGUGCAAGCGUUAAUCGGAAUUACUGGGCGUAAAGCGUGCGCAGGCGGUCUGCUAAGAGAGAUGUGAAAUCCCCGGGCUUAACCUGGGAACUGCGUUUCUAACUGGCAGGCUAGAGUGUGGCAGAGGGGGGGUGGAAUUCCACGUGUAGCAGUGAAAUGCGUAGAGAUGUGGAGGAACACCGAUGGCGAAGGCAGCCCCCUGGGCUAACACUGACGCUCAUGCACGAAAGCGUGGGGAGCAAACAGG